AAAGUCAUUGCACCUAAUAUACGUUUGGUGGAAAAAUACAGAGAAGAUUAGCAUGGCCUUGCGCAAGGAUGACACGCACAAAUUGAGAAAUGGUCCAAAUAUUU